rnacentral:rRNA from 1 species
AGAGUUUGAUCCUGGCUCAGGAUGAACGCUGGCGGCGUGCCUAACACAUGCAAGUCGAACGAGAAGCUCGUUUUCGGAUGAGCGGAAAGUGGUGCCCGGGUGAGUAACACGUAACUGACCUACCCUUCGCAGGGGGAUAACAUCGAGAAAUCGGUGCUAAUACCGCGUACGCUCAACAGAAUUAGAACCUGUUGAGGAAAGCCGAGGCGGCGAAGGAGGGGGUUGCGAUCCAUCAGCUAGAUGGUGGGGUAAAGGCCUACCAUGGCAACGACGGAUAGGGGACCUGAGAGGGUGACCCCCCACACUGGUACUGACACACGGACCAGACUCCUACGGGAGGCAGCAGUGAGGAAUAUUGCGCAAUGGGCGAAAGCCUGACGCAGCAACGCCGCGUGCGGGAAGAAGGUCUUCGGAUCGUAAACCGCUUUUCUGAGGGAAGAGCAAGGACGGUACCUUAGGAAUAAGUCUCGGCUAACUACGUGCCAGCAGCCGCGGUAAAACGUAGGAGGCAAGCGUUAUCCGGAUUUACUGGGCGUAAAGCGCGUGCAGGCGGUUUUUUAAGUCGUGCGUGAAAGCUCCCAGGCUCAACCGGGAGAGGUCGUGCGAAACUGAAAGACUUGAGACAGGCAGAGGCAAGUAGAAUUCCGGGUGUAGUGGUGAAAUGCGUAGAUAUCCGGAGGAAUACCAGUGGCGAAGGCGGCUUGCUGGGCCUGUUCUGACGCUCAGACGCGAAAGCAUGGGGAGCGAACGGGAUUAGAAACCCCGGUAGUCCAUGCCGUAAACGAUGCAGACUAGACGUUAGUCCUGUAAGGGGCUAGUGUCGAAGCUAACGCGAUAAGUCUGCCGCCUGGGGACUACGGCCGCAAGGCUAAAACUCAAAGGAAUUGACGGGGACCCGCACAAGCAGCGGAGCGUGUGGUUUAAUUCGAGACUACACGAAGAACCUUACCUGGGCUUGACAUACAAGUGGUAGUGAACUGAAAAGGGAACGACCUUCGGGAGCUUGUACAGGUGCUGCAUGGCUGUCGUCAGCUCGUGUCGUGAGAUGUUCGGUUAAGUCCGGUAACGAGCGCAACCCUCGGUGUUAGUUACAAGUGUCUAGCACGACUGCCCGGUUCAACUGGGAGGAAGGUGGGGAUGACGUCAAGUCAGCAUGGCCUUUAUGUCCAGGGCUACACACACGCUACAAUGGCCGGUACAAUAGGUUGCCAAGCCGCAAGGCGGAGCCAAUCCAGAAAAACCGGUCUCAGUUCGGAUUGUAGGCUGCAACUCGCCUGCAUGAAGUCGGAGUUGCUAGUAAACGCAGGUCAGCUAUACUGCGUUGAAUACGUUCCCGGGUCUUGUACACACCGCCCGUCACGUCAUGGAAGCUGGUCACGCCUGAAGUCGGUGGGCUAACCUAACGGAGGCAGCCGCCAAAGGCAGGGCUGGUGACUAGGACGAAGUCGUAACAAGGUA